rnacentral:rRNA from 1 species
CGCUGAAGCACCAGCUUGCUGGUGUGGAUGAGUGGCGAACGGGUGAGUAAUACGUGAGUAACCUGCCCUUGACUCUGGGAUAAGCCCGGGAAACUGGGUCUAAUACUGGAUGCUACAUGUCACCGCAUGGUGGUGUGUGGAAAGGGUUUACUGGUCUUGGAUGGGCUCACGGCCUAUCAGCUUGUUGGUGAGGUAAUGGCUCACCAAGGCGACGACGGGUAGCCGGCCUGAGAGGGUGACCGGCCACACUGGGACUGAGACACGGCCCAGACUCCUACGGGAGGCAGCAGUGGGGAAUAUUGCACAAUGGGCGAAAGCCUGAUGCAGCGACGCCGCGUGAGGGAUGACGGCCUUCGGGUUGUAAACCUCUUUCAGCAGGGAAGAAGCCACAAGUGACGGUACCUGCAGAAGAAGCGCCGGCUAACUACGUGCCAGCAGCCGCGGUAAUACGUAGGGCGCAAGCGUUGUCCGGAAUUAUUGGGCGUAAAGAGCUCGUAGGCGGUUUGUCGCGUCUGCUGUGAAAGCCCGGGGCUUAACCCCGGGUGUGCAGUGGGUACGGGCAGACUAGAGUGCAGUAGGGGAGACUGGAAUUCCUGGUGUAGCGGUGGAAUGCGCAGAUAUCAGGAGGAACACCGAUGGCGAAGGCAGGUCUCUGGGCUGUUACUGACGCUGAGGAGCGAAAGCAUGGGGAGCGAACAGGAUUAGAUACCCUGGUAGUCCAUGCCGUAAACGUUGGGCACUAGGUGUGGGGGACAUUCCACGUUUUCCGCGCCGUAGCUAACGCAUUAAGUGCCCCGCCUGGGGAGUACGGCCGCAAGGCUAAAACUCAAAGGAAUUGACGGGGGCCCGCACAAGCGGCGGAGCAUGCGGAUUAAUUCGAUGCAACGCGAAGAACCUUACCAAGGCUUGACAUAUACCGGAUCGUUCCAGAGAUGGUUCUUCCCCUUUGGGGUCGGUAUACA